rnacentral:rRNA from 1 species
UACGUAGGGUGCGAGCGUUGUCCGGAAUUACUGGGCGUAAAGAGCUCGUAGGUGGUUUGUCGCGUUGUCCGUGAAAACUCACAACUCAAUUGUGGGCGUGCGGGCGAUACGGGCAGACGUGGAGUACUGCAGGGGAGACUGGAAUUCCUGGUGUAGCGGUGGAAUGCGCAGAUAUCAGGAGGACACCAGCGGCGAAGGCGGCAUCCUGGACUGGUCCUGACACUCGAGGAGCGAA